rnacentral:misc_RNA from 1 species
UUUCCGUAGGUGAACCUGCGGAAGGAUCAUUACAGUAGUCACCCAGGUUGCCGCAGGGCCUCCUGGGUAACCUACCACCCUUUGUUUAUUACACUUUGUCGCUUUGGCAAGCCUGCCCUCGGGCUGCUGGCUCCGGCCGGCGAGCGCUUGCCAGAGGACCUAAACUCUGUUUGUCUAUACUGUCUGAGUACUAUAUAAUAGUUAAAACUUUCAACAACGGAUCUCUUGGUUCUG